ACCUUCUGGGAGGGGCGUCUGUGGGUGGUGGGGGUUCUGAAGAAGGGACACUUAAGGCGAGGCUCUGCAGUCUAGGACAGAACUAAACCACGGGCCCCUAGCAUGUGGGAGGCGCGAUCCCAACCUCCUCCCCCUGGCCAGCUCCUCAUGUUCUGGCCUGGCUCCCAGGGAGCGUUGCCUUGGUCCGGGCUUCCGUGCCCGGCGUGUUGGCAUGGAGAGGACUCCCGGCACCUGGACCGCCCGGGACGGAAAGCAGCCCCCGCCGCGUUUCUCCGAGCCCAGAAAAGACCUUCAAGGAAGAAGUUUGAUAACUCCUAAAUCCAGAGAAUGAAUUGUUGCCAAAAGAUGCUGGAGAAAUCCACACUACAUCAAGAAGAUCAAGAAUGAACUUUGGAUAUGGUUGAUUGAACUGAAGUUUGAUUGAACAUUUAUUGUAAAUGUACACAUUUAUGCCAAAAGGGACUGCCCCUAAUUUGGCUUUCUGUCAAUGCGCCUAGCAAAACAUUGGUUUUUCUUUCUUUCUUUUCUAUUUCCUCUCUCACUAUUCUAAUUUCCUCUUAGAAAAUUGAAUAUUGUGUAUAUCUAUAGUUAGAAGUGCAUUUAGGACUACAAGAUAAUUAUGUUAAAUGAUCAAUGGGGAGAGUAGUCUCCCAAUGAUCAUCAGGGGGGAUUGUGAACCUUAAAAAUUCCCAGACCCUACUUUAUAAGAUUGGAUUAAGACCAUUCCCCAUUUGGGCAGUGAACUCUACUUAGAUCAGGAAUGUGAGAACUCUACUUCACCUACUUAAGUCUGCCCUAGGGGAAGAUAAAGUUGUAAACCCUUUUCUGAACAAUGAAAAGUACUUAAACCCAUACUUAUAAUAAGGCAAAAAGUUCUUAAGAUAAGUACCUAUAAAGGUCAAGCAACUUGUGAAUUUACAAGGAACAAAGAGCUGAGAAACUUACUCAGAGCUUUCCUGGUGUGAAUUACUAAAAAAUUUACACCUUCUUAGGUGUGGACUAAGAAUGGUCUGUCCUUUGAAAAACGUCUACUGUGAUUGGUAGAUGGAAGAACUUAGGGGAGGUGACAUAGGAGAAAAUUCCCUAUGUAAGGAGAUGACAGGCUCUUAAAAAAGAAAACAGUCUCUAAGGAGGCUGUUGGGAGAGUCUGUUGAAAAACAGUCUCUUGAGGACAGUCAGCUGGGAAAGGCUGCCUUGAAGGGUCUCUCUCGAGACUCUCUCGGGGACAUUUCAGAUUGAAGGAUUGAGCUGGUGGAGUCAGCUGAGAUGCAGCUGGCCUGGUGUCACUAGAAUCCUUGCUUGGACAGAUCUUGUGGUGAGUGAUUAAGGACUGACUGAUCUUUUCUCUUAAGGCUUAGGCCUGGGUUGGCCAGGACUGGCCAGGGCCAGCUUAUCCCUUUCUCAUUAUUCCCUCUUUUUCUCUCUUUCUCUCCUCUUCCUUAAUUCCCCAUUGUAUUAAUUAAUUAAAAUCUCUAUAAAACCCA